GACGAACGCUGGCGGCGUGCUUAACACAUGCAAGUCGAACGGAAAGGCCUGCUUUCCCUUGUGGAUUGCGGGUACUCGAGUGGCGAACGGGUGAGUAACACGUGAGUGAUCUGCCCCCAACUUGGGUAUAAGCCUGGGAAACUGGGUCUAAUUCCCGAUAGGACUGCAGGGUGGUGCCUGUGGUGGAAAACGAUUUUCUAGUGGUUGGGGAUGAGCUCGCGGCCUAUCAGCUUGUUGGUGGGGUAAUGGCCUACCAAGGCGGCGACGGGUAGUCGGCCUGAGAGGGUGGACGGCGACAUUGGGACUGAGAUACGGCCCAGACUCCUACGGGAGGCAGCAGUGGGGAAUAUUGCACAAUGGGCGGAAGCCUGAUGCAGCGACGCCGCGUGGGGGAUGACGGCCUUCGGGUUGUAAACUCCUUUCGACCGCGAGGAAGCCACCUGGUUGGAAGGGUGGUGACGGUAGUGGUAGAAGAAGCACCGGCUAACUACGUG
rnacentral:rRNA from 1 species